AACGGACGCUGGCGGCAUGCCUAACACAUGCAAGUCGAACGAGACCUUCGGGUCUAGUGGCGCACGGGUGCGUAACGCGUGGGAAUCUGCCCUUGGGUACGGAACAACAGUUAGAAAUGACUGCUAAUACCGUUUAAUGACUCCGGUCCAAAGAUUUAUCGCCCAAGGAGGAGCCCGUGUCGGAUUAGCUAGUUGGGUAGGUAAAAGCCCACCAAGGCGACGAUCCGUAGCUGGUCUGAGAGGAUGAUCAGCCACACUGGGACUGAGCCACGGCCCAGACUGCUACGGGAGGAAGCAGUGGGGAAUAUUGGACAAUGGGCGAACGCCUGAUCCAGCAAUGCCGCGUAAGGGGUGAAGGCCUUAGGGUUGUAAAGCUCUUUUACCCGGGAUGAUAAUGACAGUACCGGGAGAAUAAGCCCCGGCUAACUCCGUGCCAGCCGCCGCCGUAAGAC
rnacentral:rRNA from 1 species